AGUGAACGCUGGCGGUAGGCCUAACACAUGCAAGUCGAACGGCAGCACAGUAAGAGCUUGCUCUUACGGGUGGCGAGUGGCGGACGGGUGAGGAAUACAUCGGAAUCUACUUUUUCGUGGGGGAUAACGUAGGGAAACUUACGCUAAUACCGCAUACGACCUACGGGUGAAAGCAGGGGAUCUUCGGACCUUGCGCGAUUGAAUGAGCCGAUGUCGGAUUAGCUAGUUGGCGGGGUAAAGGCCCACCAUGGCGACGAUCCGUAGCUGGUCUGAGAGGAUGAUCAGCCACACUGGAACUGAGACACGGUCCAGACUCCUACGGGAGGCAGCAGUGGGGAAUAUUGGACAAUGGGCGCAAGCCUGAUCCAGCCAUACUGCGUGGGUGAAGACGGCCUUCGGGUUGUAAAGCCCUUUUGUUGGGAAAGAAAAGCAGCAGGUUAAUACCCCGCUGUUCUGACGGUACCCAAAGAAUAAGCACCGGCUAACUUCGUG
rnacentral:rRNA from 1 species